rnacentral:rRNA from 1 species
CCAGCAGCCGCGGUAAUUCCAGCUCCAAUAGCGUAUAUUAAAGUUGUUGCAGUUAAAAAGNUCGUAGUUGAAUUUCGGGAUCAAUACGUCGGUCGUGCUUUCGGGUACGUACUGGCGUCGUUGGUUUCUCUCUUCUGACGAACCAUGAUGUCAUUAGUUUGGUGUUAUGGGGAGUUAGGACUGUUACUUUGAAAAAAUUAGAGUGUUUAAAGCAGGCAUUAGCCUGAAUACAUUAGCAUGGAAUAAUGAAAUAGGACGUUUGAUACCUAUUUUGUUGGGUUUCUAGGAUCGACGUAAUGAUUAAUAGGGAUAGUUGGGGGCAUUAGUAUUCAAUUGUCAGAGGUGAAAUUCUUGGAUUUAUUGAAGACUAACUACUGCGAAAGCAUUUGCCAAGGAUGUUUUCAUUAAUCAAGAACGAAAGUUAGGGGAUCGAAGACGAUCAGAUACCGUCGUAGUCUUAACCAUAAACUAUGCCGACUAGGGAUCGGACGAUGUUAAUUUUUUAAUGACUCGUUCGGCGCCUUACG